rnacentral:rRNA from 1 species
GAUGAACGCUGGCGGCGUGCCUAAUACAUGCAAGUCGAGCGAACAGACGAGAAGCUUGCUCCUCUGACGUUAGCGGCGGACGGGUGAGUAACACGUGGAUAACCUACCUAUAAGACUGGGAUAACUUCGGGAAACCGGAGCUAAUACCGGAUGAUAUAUUGAACCGCAUGGUUCAAUAGUGAAAGACGGUCUUGCUGUCACUUAUAGAUGGAUCCGCGCCGCAUUAGCUAGUUGGUAAGGUAACGGCUUACCAAGGCAACGAUGCGUAGCCGACCUGAGAGGGUGAUCGGCCACCCUGGAACUGAGACACGGUCCAGACUCCUACGGGAGGCAGCAGUAGGGAAUCUUCCGCAAUGGGCGAAAGCCUGACGGAGCAACGCCGCGUGAGUGAUGAAGGUCUUCGGAUCGUAAAACUCUGUUAUUAGGGAAGAACAAAUGUGUAAGUAACUGUGCACGUCUUGACGGUACCUAAUCAGAAAGCCACGGCUAACUACGUG